rnacentral:rRNA from 1 species
UAAAGGGGCUAACAAAAAGGGAUGUGGAAGCAUAAGUUCCUUGGAACAGGACAUCAUAGAGGGUGAAAAUCCCGUAUGUAGCUUCCACUGAACUGAAUGUUGACCUUCUAAGAGUCGGGUUGUUUGGGAUUGCAGCCCUAAAUGGGAGAUAAACUUCUUCUAAGGCUAAAUAUCUAUGGGAAACCGAUAGCGAACAAGCACUGUGAAGGAAAGGUGAAAAGAACUUUGAAAAGAGGGUUAAAAGACUUGAAAUCGUUGAGAAGGAAGCAGUAGAAGUGGAUUUAUGUUAGCUAUGAAGCAAGCCAUGUGAGGAACCAGCUCGUAGUGGUUAUGUACGUCAUUGGCUACCUGCUACGAAGUAAUGGCACUCUAUGGUGAUUUCAUAGUUAAAGGGCAGAACCAGGUCUAGUCUUGCUGGAGUCAGUUGAGAGAAAGUCCACCUUUCGGGGUG